rnacentral:rRNA from 1 species
UACGUAGGUGGCAAGCGUUGUCCGGAAUUACUGGGUGUAAAGGGAGCGCAGGCGGGGAAGCAAGUCGGCUGUGAAAUGCAUAGGCUUAACCUAUGAAUUGCAGUUGAAACUGUUUUUCUUGAGUGGAGUAGAGGUAGGCGGAAUUCCGAGUGUAGCGGUGAAAUGCGUAGAUAUUCGGAGGAACACCAGUGGCGAAGGCGGCCUACUGGGCUCUAACUGACGCUGAGGCUCGAAAGUGUGGUGAGCAAACAGGAUUAGAUACCCU